CAGAUUUUAGUGUCUCUCUAAGUAAUUCGCCUAUGAUUGAGGAAUUCUUGCUCACCUUAGGCAGGGGGAAAUUUGUUAUUGACUUCAGACCAUCCCAUAAAUCUUCUUUCGCCUUCGUAAAUGCUAUAGAAGUCUUUCUUACCCCAGAAAGCUUCAUUCCUGAUGAUACAACUCAAAUCACUGCUGCAGGAAGGAAAGGCAAUUUCAGUGGGUUGUUGUGUCAUGGCUUGCAUACUACCUACAGGAUCAAUGUUGGAGGUUCCAACCUCACAGCAGAUAACGAUAAGCUGUGGAGAAAUUGGAUACCUGAUGAUGAUUUCUUGACUUACCCUGAAACUGCAAAGAACAGUUCAUUCUUUUCUGGGCAACUGCCUAAGGGUCCGCAGAAUACUGAGUAUGUUGCCC
rnacentral:misc_RNA from 1 species